rnacentral:rRNA from 1 species
GACGAACGCUGGCGGCGUGCUUAACACAUGCAAGUCGAACGGAAAGGCCCUGCUUUUGUGGGGUGCUCGAGUGGCGAACGGGUGAGUAACACGUGAGUAACCUGCCCUUGACUUUGGGAUAACUUCAGGAAACUGGGGCUAAUACCGGAUAGGAGCUCCUGCUGCAUGGUGGGGGUUGGAAAGUUUCGGCGGUUGGGGAUGGACUCGCGGCUUAUCAGCUUGUUGGUGGGGUAGUGGCUUACCAAGGCUUUGACGGGUAGCCGGCCUGAGAGGGUGACCGGCGACAUUGGGACUGAGAUACGGCGCAGACUCCUAUGGGAGGCAGCAGUGGGGAAUAUGGCACAAUGGGCGGAAGCCUGAUGCAGCAACGCCGCGUGCGGGAUGACGGCCUUCGGGUUGUAAACCGCUGUCGCCUGUGACGAAGCGUGAGUGACGGUAAUGGGUAAAGAAGCACCGGCUAACUACGUG